CAAAUGUCGCCGAUCUUCUUUCUAUCGCCCUCUGGUAUAUCUGGAAACGAUGAGAAUUCAAUAUAUAAAAUGAAGUAUAUAAAUCAGUUGAAAAGUGUAUAUAGCUAUUCGUUGGUCUAAUAUUAUUAUAAGCUUUUGUUUCAUCCCUCUGAGACGUUAGAGCGUCGGGACGCUCAAUCCGCCACCGGCCAAAGAGACUCAGUCUUGACUCCUCUUUCAACCGAUGUCAUACAUCGUCGAGAAAUCCUCCUUGAUUGCUGCAUUGUUCGAGAAUAAUACCUACAGCCAAUGGAUAAAUGAUGUAAGAAGGAAGAAAAAUCGAUUUAUCCUAAGAUCCAAGCCAUAAUCAUCACCAAACAAGCAUUAGUAGAACUACGCGAAGGAAUGGCAAACACUUGAAGUAUCCCCUUGGAAAUUCCGUACGUAAUCAGCAUAGUAAACUCAUCCGUGUGGAAACAGUCGACUAAUGUCCUUGUUUACCCCGAGACAUUGGGCUUCAAAGAUGGUUUAAUCCAAUGAGGCCAGUCAAGUUAGAAAUGAAACCCGGAAGAAGAGAAAAAAGCUCCCGUGUAUGAGCAAUGUAACAAAGCGAUGAGCGAUCCUGAUUAUGUAAAAGUUGAUAAUUGUAUACCAGUUAACAAUCUGUCCUCAUUUUACAGUAGAAUUAACGUACCGCUGUACGUAGAUAAGUACGGGCAAAUAAAAUGACGCUGUUCGGGUCAAUCCACGCGUCAAAAGUGGGUCAUUCCAGUAUGGCACACUGCCAAUGCUCUCACCUGCGAAACGUCCCACGCCUUCCGCAGUAUAUCCAAUGCCAACGGAAAAUAUUUGAACGAAAAGUUUUUCUUAUAGGAAAAACCAUGACUCCUUAUGACGAUGAUGCUCAUCGAUCAUUCUUAAAGCUCUUAAAGGGCUGCUGCUGCUGUCAUAGAAGGAUUUAUCUUUCGUUCUAUAUGUUUUCUUAUGAAACUAUCAUAUCGAUUUAACCCUAAGGAUAAGUACAAGGCAUACAGAUUACAUAUGUAUGUUAACAAGAGGAACGAGUCUUCAACAGUCCAUAUACUCGAUUUUAAUUUUUGCUCCUUUUUUUCUGAAUUGGUUCGUUAAGAAGUAAUUACGUUAGGACGUAUUCUUCAACAUUUCUCAUUUUUAAGUUCACCGGGUAAAACGAAGGAAUUUGCGACCUGGUGUACGUACUCCUACAUUCAAGUACUCAGUUGAUGCCGUACUCGAUUAUACAUUCCUCGUGAUCUCGUUACUGCCGAGGGUUGCUACCGUGAAAAAGGCAGGAUGCUGGAGAAAUGGGACAAUAUGGAAAAGAUAGCGAGCUGUAUCUCAUGUCUUCGAAAUUCUCUCACUAAAUGCCGGAUGAGAAUAUCUCUCACUGGUCUUGUUCGCUAGAAUAUUUUAACGCGACGAGUACAACGGCUUGGUAUAUUUGACUAGGCAUCAAGACGGAUAUUUGAAAUCCUGAAGGAACGACCACUUCUUAGGGUUAUUGAGUGACCAUUUCUUUUUGCCAUACCGCAGACAUGACUCAGCAUACGUGUCCCUUAACGAAAACUUAAUCUACAAUAUUAUGCAGAGAAAUCACCUUUGGGAAACAGAAACUGAACUUAGUAUAGAAUUUAUAUCAUUGGACCCAGUAGUGAUAUUUUUCUGGUAAAAUUGAUCACGUGGAAAUAGGAUACCAAUGAGAAAUCAAAUGCCUAUACUAUAUACAUAAUAUUCUCUAUAAUUUAAGUGAGAUUGAGAAAGACAACGUUAUGAGAUAUGAUAAUCCAACCAUAUAACAGAUAAACAUUAAUCAAGGGCUUAAGUAAAAUAUUGUGUGGCCAUGGCUAUUUGAAUAUUCGUGUAUUGGUGUAAUAAUAUGCGGAACCUAGUUCCCCAUUCUGUCUCUCUCUUUCCGAACGGAUAUAAAUCUAAUCAAGUAAAAGCAUCGCACUGUGGCCACGUUACUUAUCACUAAAAUUAUAUAAUCGCACAGCAAGAUGGAGUAAUACUCGGCAUUAUUAAAACCCAUUUUGAAGCA